rnacentral:ribozyme from 21 species
UCUGCAACGUUGAAACUCCAAAAAGAAAAAAAAAACAAAAAACCAAAAAAACAACCGAAACAAUACGAAUGAACCCUGGCUGUCUUGUUGCUCGUUGUUCGUCUACUGUUUGUCUUAUCUUUGUUUCGUUUCGAUUGUCCGCUGAUGCUAACUCGUAUGAU